CCAGGAGUAUAACUUUAAAGUU
rnacentral:misc_RNA from 1 species